GAUACUCCCUUGCAGUCACAGUCCGGGCGUGCAGCCGUAUUCAGGCGGUGAGGCGUCGCAGGCAAUGAGCAGGGCCGCGCGAGAACCGCGCGGGGGUGGGAUUCCCGUGG
rfam:Holdemania filiformis DSM 12042 genomic scaffold Scfld2, whole genome shotgun sequence.